rnacentral:rRNA from 1 species
UACGUAGGAUGCUAGCGUUGUCCGGAUUUACUGGGCGUAAAGCGCGCGCAGGCGGCACUGUAAGUAAGGUGUGAAAUAUCCCUGCUCAACGGGGAGGGUGCACUUUAGACUGCAGAGCUAGAGGACGGUAGAGGGGGGUGGAAUUGCUGGUGUAGCGGUGAAAUGCGUAGAGAUCGGGAGGAACACCUGUGGCGAAGGCGGCUCGCUGGGCCGGUCUGACGCUGAUAUGCGAAGGCGUGGGGAGCAAACAGG